rnacentral:lncRNA from 1 species
CUGGGUCACUCGGGGUCACCUUUGACCCUUGCUCCCUAGGAAUGAGGUUUCGGGGUCAACCUUAGCUGCUCGUAGGCCACACUGUGUGCGCCGUGGAGAUCUGUGGAUGGCGCUUGUCUAUUUUUCUGUUUCUUAGGAGGUACCAAGUUAUAAGAAAAAUAAUUGCCAAAUCAGAAGAAUUGGAUGCCUGGCUUUGAACACUCUUGGCUGAAUGGUUAAUACUGAAGGACAGAGAGCUUCAUCCAACUGUUUUCAGAGUUGGUCCAUAAUCUUGUUUCAUAAUUGCCUGCGCCGAGAGCACCACAAAAUGGCAGAAGUGCAUUCAGGGUCGUGUCAGAAAUCACCGAGCAUUCCACCUUAAA